rnacentral:rRNA from 1 species
AACGAACGCUGGCGGCAGGCUUAACACAUGCAAGUCGAGCGAGACCUUCGGGUCUAGCGGCGGACGGGUGAGUAACGCGUGGGUACGUGCCCUUCUCUACGGAAUAGCCCCGGGAAACUGGGAGUAAUACCGUAUACGCCCUUUGGGGGAAAGAUUUAUCGGAGAAGGAUCGGCCCGCGUUGGAUUAGGUAGUUGGUGGGGUAAUGGCCCACCAAGCCGACGAUCCAUAGCUGGUUUGAGAGGAUGAUCAGCCACACUGGGACUGAGACACGGCCCAGACUCCUACGGGAGGCAGCAGUGGGGAAUCUUAGACAAUGGGGGCAACCCUGAUCUAGCCAUGCCGCGUGAGUGAUGAAGGCCUUAGGGUUGUAAAGCUCUUUCAGCUGGGAAGAUAAUGACGGUACCAGCAGAAGAAGCCCCGGCUAACUCCGUG